CUAAUUUACAGCGCCGUAAACAAAAUUGGAACGAUGCCCUCUGAAAUGUGCAGAAUUGUUUUCAGCUCGCACCGAAGAAGACUGCGUAUUCCAGGGAUUUGCAAAGGCAUCUCGCUACUUGAAAUAGAUUUAUGUCUAGACAGGCAACCUGUGUAUUGUUCCAGCCAAGCUAGGAUUAAAAUGACCCUGGCGAUGCAAGGAUCAGAUCAACUGGAAAGUCUGAAAAGUGGGAGUUAAUGGGAGUGCUGCUGUCAGCCUUCUGUACAGACUCCGGAGGGAAUUUGGAUAAACCAUGGAACCAUGAAAUACUAUAGGUGUGGUGAAACUGGCCAUGUAGCCAUCAACUGCAACAAGAC